GAUGAACGCUGGCGGCGUGCCUAAUACAUGCAAGUCGAGCGAACGGACGAGAAGCUUGCUUUUCUGAUGUUAGCGGCGGACGGGUGAGUAACACGUGGAUAACCUACCUAUAAGACUGGGAUAACUUCGGGAAACCGGAGCUAAUACCGGAUAAUAUUUUGAACCGCAUGGUUCAAAAGUGAAAGACGGUCUUGCUGUCACUUAUAGAUGGAUCCGCGCUGCAUUAGCUAGUUGGUAAGGUAACGGCUUACCAAGGCAACGAUGCAUAGCCGACCUGAGAGAGUGAUCGGCCACACUGGAACUGAGACACGGUCCAGACUCCUACGGGAGGCAGCAGUAGGGAAUCUUCCGCAAUGGGCGAAAGCCUGACGGAGCAACGCCGAGUGAGUGAUGAAGGUCUUCGGAUCGUAAAACUCUGUUGUUAGGGACGAACAUAUGUGUAAGUAACUGUGCACAUCUUGACGGUACCUAAUCAGAAAGCCACGGCUAACUACGUG
rnacentral:rRNA from 1 species